rnacentral:rRNA from 1 species
UGGGGAAUAUUGGACAAUGGGCGCAAGCCUGAUCCAGCAAUGCCGCGUGUGUGAAGAAGGCCUGCGGGUUGUAAAGCACUUUGAGCGGGGAGGAAGGCCCGCGGGAUAACACCCCGCGGGAUUGACGUUACCCGCAGAACAAGCACCGGCUAACUCCGUGCCAGCAGCCGCGGUAAUACGGAGGGUGCGAGCGUUAAUCGGAAUUACUGGGCGUAAAGCGCGCGUAGGCGGCCCGGUCAGUCCGGCGUGAAAGCCCUGGGCUCAACCUGGGAACUGCGCCGGAUACUGCCGGGCUGGAGUGUGGGAGAGGGUAGUGGAAUUUCCGGUGUAGCAGUGAAAUGCGUAGAGAUCGGAAGGAACACCAGUGGCGAAGGCGGCUACCUGGACCAACACUGACGCUGAGGUGCGAAAGCGUGGGGAGCAAACA